CGGCCCAAGCCCACAUUGAGAAAAUUGGAACGAUACAGAGAAGAUUAACAUGACCCCUGCUCAAGGAUUACACGCACAAAUCGAGAAAUGGUCAAAAAAUUU